UAUUCCAACUUCCCUAAGCUCCAAUAGAUGAGGCAGCAAGGGUUCUCCGCCUCUUCGGGGAUGGAGCGACAUAAGUUUUGAGAAUUAAAGAUAAGGUCACG
rnacentral:rRNA from 1 species